rnacentral:rRNA from 1 species
AGAGUUUGAUCAUGGCUCAGAACGAACGCUGGCGGCAGGCUUAACACAUGUAAGUCGAACGGGCACCUUCGGGUGUCAGUGGCAGACGGGUGAGUAACACGUGGGACGUGCCUUUCGGUUCGGGGAUAACCCAGGGAAACUUGGGCUAAUACCGGAUACGCCCUUUUUGGGGAAAGAUUGAUUUGCCGAAAGAUCGGCCCGCGUCUGAUUAGCUAGUUGGUGGGGUAAUGGCCCACCAAGGCGACGAUCAGUAGCUGGUCUGAGAGGAUGAUCAGCCACACUGGGACUGAGACACGGCCCAGACUCCUACGGGAGGCAGCAGUGGGGAAUAUUGGACAAUGGGCGCAAGCCUGAUCCAGCCAUGCCGCGUGAGUGAUGAAGGCCCUAGGGUUGUAAAGCUCUUUCGGCGGGGACGAUAAUGACGGUACCCGCAGAAGAAGCCCCGGCUAACUUCGUGCCAGCAGCCGCGGUAAUACGAAGGGGGCUAGCGUUGUUCGGAAUCACUGGGCGUAAAGGGCGCGUAGGCGGCCAUUCAAGUCGGGGGUGAAAGCCUGUGGCUCAACCACAGAAUUGCCUUCGAUACUGUUUGGCUUGAGACCGGAAGAGGUUAGUGGAACUGCGAGUGUAGAGGUGAAAUUCGUAGAUAUUCGCAAGAACACCAGUGGCGAAGGCGGCUAACUGGUCCGGUUCUGACGCUGAGGCGCGAAAGCGUGGGGAGCAAACAGGAUUAGAUACCCUAGUAGUCC